GUAGGCUUUUUAAAAAGUUCAUCAACUGCUCUUUAUCUGCUGACCAAGAAGCACCAUCAAUAGCUACAGCAAAUUGUGAAAAAAUGCCAAAUCCCCAUGUUACUUGACACCCACAGUUACAAUCAUUCUCCUCACGGAAUUCUCGUUCAUUUUAUCUCAAAUAACUGAGAUCACAGACCAUACAAAUUAAUUCCAGUCAGUAAAAUGCAAAAAAAAAGAGUAAAUGUACACCAAAAACCUCUGAAAGCAGAACAUUGAUUAAGAAGUCAGAACUACAUGACAAAAGAGGUGGGUGGGUGCACGCGCACACACAUGCAUGUGCAGAAACACAGAAGCUGCCUUAUAUCAAGUCCAACCAUUAAUCUACCUAGCUCAAUAGUGCCUACACUGACUGGCAGCAGCACUUCAUGGUUUCAGCUAGAGAGCCUUUACAGCCCUGCCAGGAGAAGCCAGGAAUUGAAGCAAUGACCUUCCACACACAAAGCAUGAGGUCUACCAUUCAGCUAUGGUCUAUUCACAUCUAGCAAGAAAGGAUGGAUAGCUGCUCAUCACUUCUGGUCCACAGCGUCAAGAUGAGAAAUGCUACCUCUUAAUUUUCUGGAAAGUUUUAAUUAGUGUACUCCAAAGGCAAGGUAGCUGUGCAGCCCAACACAAUGCAUAUUACUUGGACACAAGUCCCCCUGAUUUCAUUGCAAUUUACUGCCCUGCAAGCAUGCUGAGAAUCAUAACCUUUGAACAUUAAAGUUCGUCACAAUUUGAACCGCAAGAGAAAUAACAACAAGGAGAAAAGUGACAGUGAGGAAGGUAAGAAGGUAAAAUAACACAGUCUGAAAUUAGCAGUUUCACUAGAAACAAGACAUUACUGUUGGUGCCCUUUUGUUCUAUAUAUUUGUAAAGUAGCACCUCCAAGUGGUAAAGCUCAUUAUUGCCAGCUGCUUCCACAUCAUUCAAUAAACAGUGAAAAAGAGGGAAGAGAGUUAAGUCAUUCGGCCAAGACUACAAGAGGGGCAAGGGAGAAUGAGGCAAGGUUCUAACCUGACACAAGAAGGUAGAUUUCUCCUUCCUUUCACUGCUCACACAGGUAAGUGAAAGUGUACCAUGGUUCCCCAGAC
rnacentral:lncRNA from 1 species